rnacentral:tRNA from 1 species
ACACCUAAGGGGUUAGUUGAGCGGCCCCCUCCUAAGGGGCAGGCCACAGGUUCGACUCCUGUCGGGAGCGCCA